rnacentral:lncRNA from 1 species
UGCCAAUGUCAAGAAAAUCCUGUCAUCACGUCGUUGGUCUUCUGGCCUUCUUCAGGCUUACGCAGCCAAGGCUGUCUCGCAGGAAGAUUUCUUCAGAAACCACCCCUGGGCCUCACUGAAAACGUGUGGGUUAGGUGUCCCAUCGCAGCAGUGGUCCAGGAACAGUCUAGGAAAACAUUCCGCCUUUUCCGAAGACCGUGACCUUCUACAGUGACUGAAACCUAUUUUGGUUGAACUCUUAUUUGUGUGAAGUCUGUCAUUACGUGUUCUUCUCAGGUUAGUUCUCCCACUCAGCCUCCAAAAUGUUAAUAAAUGUUUGGCAGAAAAAUGAAUGAUGCUUGUG